rnacentral:rRNA from 1 species
UACGUAGGGUGCAAGCGUUGUCCGGAAUUAUUGGGCGUAAAGAGCGUGUAGGCGGCCUCGUAAGUCCGCUGUGAAAGUCCAGGGCUCAACCCUGGAAAGCCGGUGGAUACUGCGAGGCUAGAGUCCGGAAGGGGCGAGUGGAAUUCCUGGUGUAGCGGUGAAAUGCGCAGAUAUCAGGAGGAACACCGAUGGCGAAGGCAGCUCGCUGGGACGUGACUGACGCUGAGACGCGAAAGCGUGGGGAGCAAACAGG